rfam:Dipodomys ordii contig_25818, whole genome shotgun sequence.
GGUGGCUCAGUGGUAGAGCUCUUGCCUUGCAUGCAUGAGGCCCUGGGUUCGAUUCCUUAGCACCA